rnacentral:rRNA from 1 species
GAUGAACGCUGGCGGCGUGCCUAAUACAUGCAAGUCGAGCGAACAGACGAGGAGCUUGCUCCUCUGACGUUAGCGGCGGACAGGUGAGUAACACGUGGAUAACCUACCUAUAAGACUGGGAUAACUUCGGGAAACCUGAGCUAAGACCGGGUAAUACAUUCACCCGCAUGGUCCAAUAGUAAAAGACGCUUUUGCUGUGCCUUAUGUAUGAUUCGGUGCUUCAUUGGCUAGUUGGUAAGGUACCGGCUGACAAAGGCGCGGAUGGCUAGCCGACCUGGCAGUGUGAUGGAGCACACUUGAACUGAUACACGGUCAAGACGCCACUGGGAGGCAGCAGUAGGGAAUCUGCCGGGAUGGGCGGAAGCCUGACGGAGCAACGCCGCGUGAGUGAUGAAGGUCUUCGGAUCGUAAAACUAUGUUAUUAGGGAAGAAAAAAUGUGUAAGUAACUAUGCACGUCUUGACGGUACCUAAUCAGAAAGCCACGGCUAACUACGUG